UACAGAGGGUGCGAGCGUUAAUCGGAAUUACUGGGCGUAAAGGGUGCGUAGGUGGUUGCAUAAGUUAGGUGUGAAAGUCCUGGGCUUAACCUGGGGAUUGCGCCUGAUACUGUGCGGCUAGAGUACUGUAGAGGGAAGUGGAAUUUCCGGUGUAGCGGUGAAAUGCGUAGAUAUCGGAAGGAACAUCAGUGGCGAAGGCGACUUUCUGGACAGUGACUGACACUGAGGCACGAAAGCAUGGGGAGCAAACAGG
rnacentral:rRNA from 1 species